rnacentral:rRNA from 1 species
UACAGAGACUGCAAGCGUUAUUCGGAUUCACUGGGCGUAAAGGGUGCGCAGGCGGUCGCGUGUGUCAGGUGUGAAAGCCCGGAGCUUAACUCCGGAAUUGCGCCUGAAACUACGUGACUAGAGCAUUGGAGAGGGUAGCGGAAUUCACGGUGUAGCAGUGAAAUGCGUAGAUAUCGUGAGGAACACCAGAGGCGAAGGCGGCUACCUGGACAAUUGCUGACGCUCAGGCACGAAAGCGUGGGGAGCAAAAGGG